AUACAAAGGCUUGGCUAAUACUGCAAAGUUUGGGAUGCACAGUCUACAAAACCCCACAGCCCCUAAGAAUUCCCUCACCUGCCCCCUUUGUGACCUCAUACAAAGGCUUGGCUAAUAAUGCAAAAUUUGGGAUGCAGAGUCUACAAAACCCCACAGCCCCUAAGAAUUCCCUCACCUGCCUUCUGCCCUUAGGCUCCGGUAGACUGCAAAUGACCUGCUUUCUUUCUGUUCCCGGGCUGCGUUUGGACCCCUGUCGGAUAGUAAAUCCCAAGUAAGGUACCUGCCCUCGGCAGAUUUGAGCUUUCUUCUUGGACACCUAAUACCCACAGUCCCCCAGGCUCCGGUAGACUGCAAAUGACCUGCUUUCUUUCUGUUCCCGGGCUGCGUUUGGACCCCUGUCGGACAGUAAAUCCCAAGUAAGGUACCUGCCCUCGGCAGAUUUGAGCUUUCUUCUUGGACACCUAAUACCCACAGUCCUCCAGGAAUGGAACAGAUAAGAAGAUACUGAAAUUGGACGGUGCUGCCGUGCGGCUGCCGCAGGACACCUUUAAUAUCCCUGUUUCUCAGGCUGUAGAUGAAGGGGUUCAGCAUGGAGGUGAUCACCGUGUACAUCACUGAGGCCACUGCAGCCUUUCUCGGGGAAGAUGACACAUCUGAACUGAGGUACCCUCCAAAGCCUGUUCCGUAAAAUCAGCAAACAACUGACAGGAUAACUUCAGGAAGUGGGUAUUAAUUCUCACGGUAUAAGUGAAGACAUUAAGCACCAGAGUUUAAGUAGCUUGAUCCACUGAAAGAGAUUCAACUGUGUGGAACCUAUGCCGUGGAGAAUUGCUUUCUGCCAUUGUUAUCGUCCAGCAGUUGCCGAAUAGCUCUGACCUGAGCAAAGCAGUGAAACGCGGUGCUGUUGAGUGGGUUGCCACUGCACCUUUUUCAACUACUCUAGUCUUGUGGAGAAAAUACCCCUUCUAAAUUUUUUCUUCAUUGAAUACUCUCCCUCAGCUCCAGAGUACCAUAUAGAGUUUUCUUGUAUUUUAGAGUUACUGUUUUAUCAAAGUUUACCAGUCUUUUGUAUUACAUUUCUCCUGUCUAAAUCGACUGUGUGGUUUCUACUCAUUAUGGAUAUAGAUUGAUACAAACUCAAUAAAUAUUUUUGAAUGAAUAA
ensembl:lncRNA LINC01198 long intergenic non-protein coding RNA 1198